rnacentral:rRNA from 1 species
UGGGGAAUAUUGGGCAAUGGGCGCAAGCCUGACCCAGCAACGCCGCGUGAGGGAAGAAGGUCUUCGGAUUGUAAACCUCUGUCCUUGGGGACGAAAAGAAUGACGGUACCCAAGGAGGAAGCUCCGGCUAACUACGUGCCAGCAGCCGCGGUAAUACGUAGGGAGCGAGCGUUGUCCGGAAUUACUGGGCGUAAAGGGUGCGUAGGCGGCAUGGCAAGUCAGAUGUGAAAUCCCCGGGCUUAACUCGGGGGGUGCAUUUGAAACUGCUGUGCUUGAGUGCAGGAGAGGAAAGCGGAAUUCCUAGUGUAGCGGUGAAAUGCGUAGAUAUUAGGAGGAACACCAGUGGCGAAGGCGGCUUUCUGGACUGUAACUGACGCUGAGGCACGAAAGCGUGGGGAGCAAACAG